CCUACGGGUGGCAGCAGUCGAGAAUCAUUCACAAUGGGGGAAACCCUGAUGGUGCGACGCCGCGUGGGGGAAUGAAGGUCUUCGGAUUGUAAACCCCUGUCAUGUGGGAGCAAAUCAUAAAGAUAGUACCACAAGAGGAAGAGACGGCUAACUCUGUGCCAGCAGCUGCGGUAAUACAGAGGUCGCAAGCGUUGUUCGGAAUCACUGGGCGUAAAGCGUGCGUAGGCUGUUUCGUAAGUCGUGUGUGAAAGUUGCGGGCUCAACCCGCGGACGGCACAUGAUACUGCGAGACUAGAGUGAUGAAGGGGGGACUGGAAUUCUAGGUGUAGCAGUGAAAUGCGUAGAUAUCGAGAGGAACACUCGUGGCGAAGGCGGGUUCCUGGACAUUAACUGACGCUGAGGCACGAAGGCCAGGGGAGCGAAAGGGAUUAGAUACCCCGGUAGUC
rnacentral:rRNA from 1 species